rnacentral:rRNA from 1 species
AAGGACAUGUGGACAGUAUGGGAGUGAGAAUGUUGGCAUGAGUAGCGAGAUGUGGGUGAGAAUCCCACAGGCCGUAAACCCAAGGUUUCCAGGGGAAGGUUCGUCCGCCCUGGGUUAGUCGGGACCUAAGCUGAGGCCGAAAGGCGUAGGUGAUGGACAACAGGUUGAUAUUCCUGUACUACCGAUAACCGUUUGAGAGAAGGGAUGACACAGUAGGAUAAGCUAAGCACACUGUUGGUUAUGUGUGCCCAAGCAUUGAGGCAGUCAAAGUAGGUAAAUCCGCUUUGAUAAUGCUGGGAUGUGAUGGGGAGCGAAAUUUAGUAGCGAAGUAGCUGAUUUCACACUGUCAAGAAAAGUCUCUAUCGAGGUUAAAGGUACCCGUACCGCAAACCGACACAGGUGGGUGAGGAGAGUAUCCUAAGGCCAGCGAGAGAACUGUUGUUAAGGAACUCGGCAAAAUGACCCCGUAACUUAGGGAUAAGGGGUGCCACCAUCAGGUGGCCGCAGAGAAUAGGCCCAAGCGACUGUUUACCAAAAACAUAGGUUUCUGCUAAGUCGCAAGACGAUGUAUAGGAGCUGACGCCUGCCCGGUGCUGGAAGGUUAAGGGGAUCUGUUAGAGCAAUCGAAGCAGUGAACUUAAGCCCCAGUAAACGGCGGCCGUAACUAUAACGGUCCUAAGGUAGCGAAAUUCCUUGUCGGGUAAGUUCCGACCCGCACGAAAGGCGUAACGAUUUGGGCACUGUCUCAACAACAGACUCGGUGAAAUUGUCAGACCUGUGAAGAUGCCGGAUACCUGCGACAGGACGGGAAGGCCCCAUGGAGCUUUACUGUAGCAUGGGGUUGGGUCUUGGUACUACAUGUCCAGGAUAGGUGGGAGGCUUUGAAACCAGGACGCCAGUUUUGGCGGAGACAUCCUUGGGAUACCACCCUUGUAGUACUGGGACUCUAACCAUAG